rnacentral:rRNA from 1 species
AAAUUGAAGAGUUUGAUCAUGGCUCAGAUUGAACGCUGGCGGCAGGCCUAACACAUGCAAGUCGAACGGUAACAGGAAUCAGCUUGCUGAUUCGCUGACGAGUGGCGGACGGGUGAGUAAUGUCUGGGAAACUGCCUGAUGGAGGGGGGAUAACUACUGGAAACGGUAGCUAAUACCGCAUAACGUCGCAAGACCAAAGAGGGGGACCUUCGGGCCUCUUGCCAUCGGAUGUGCCCAGAUGGGAUUAGCUAGUAGGUGGGGUAAUGGCUCACCUAGGCGACGAUCCCUAGCUGGUCUGAGAGGAUGACCAGCCACACUGGAACUGAGACACGGUCCAGACUCCUACGGGAGGCAGCAGUGGGGAAUAUUGCACAAUGGGCGCAAGCCUGAUGCAGCCAUGCCGCGUGUAUGAAGAAGGCCUUCGGGUUGUAAAGUACUUUCAGCGGGGAGGAAGGGA